GCCAAGUCCGCAAGGCGUCAGGCUGGUGGCCUGCCCUAACCUUGGAGCGGGCAAAGAGCUGGUAGCUGCAGGAUCCGUUCAGCGGCUGAGCUGGGAGACCACUUUCUCUGCGUAAGAGUCUAUUAUAACAAGACAGCCUGACUUAAAUCAGCAUAAAAAAUAUUUCUGUCAGCAUUCAGAGAACAUGGGGAUAACAACUAUUAAUGCUCCAUGGAGAAUGCACUUAGAGAUAUACUUCAUUAUUCCAAAGUAGGGAUUUGUCCAACGGUGUGAAUUUCAGAUACAGUGGUGGCACCUUGAGUAAGCAUUUUGGAGUUUUAGAUUGUCUUUCAAUUCUUCUAAAGUCACACUGUGUGAUAGUCGUCUCCUCCACCUAUGAGUAUUUGACUUUCUUAUCCAGUUCACUGUAAUGUGUGAUCACUUCCGGUUGUAAGUUUAUGUAAACGAAUCAUUCACCUGUUCUUGACGUCGUCAUUGAGGUUGAAGUUCUCUUCAGCAGCUCGUUCAAAAGCAGCGCGUAUUGCUUCCCACAAAGAAAGUGUGUAUUUUCUGUCUACAAACAAAGGCCUUAUCUUGAUUCUUCCCACCAAAUUUCGACAUUUCUCUCCACCUGGCAGAGGGAGUCUGUGAUAUUAAGGGUCGUUGCUGCGAGUGCGUAAUUCCCACAACAUCAAAUCCUGCAGGACCAGCGAUUGAUCGUUGUCGUCAUGCAGAAAACUGAGACAGAUGUUUCGCUGGCCAUGCGUUUGUACUAUCCCAUCAGCAACUCUGGACUGUACUCCAACUCUUUACCUCGGGGAUUCGUGUCACCUGGUGAAGCCAAACCUUCUUGACGAUGUCUUCAAUCAUUUCCUUCCUCUAUAAGUUAAGUUGGAAGGACGUUGGAAAGAGGAACAUUAAGGGAAGCAUAAAUGCUCUCAUUGGAAGCUACUGUAGGAUUCAGAAUUUCUUGUUGAAAAGUCAGUGGAAUGCAUGGCUUUGUAAAGAAAAUAAUGCUCUAAGAAUUUACUGGAAAAAAAGGAAGAUUUGUCCAUUAAAGCUUCAUUUGAUAAUUUAUAGGGGAAGAUGUUCUCCAAAAGCAGAUCAAAGCUAAAACAAAUUAAAAACAAACAAGAAUUGGAGAAAAAGAUAUAUUAGAAUCUUAGUUUGUCCUAAAACAAUGAAAAAAGGUGUAUUUGUUUACAUUUCCUUAGCUUUAUUUAUUUUUUUGUAAGAUUUUAUUUAUUUAUUGAGAGAGAGUGAGCCUGA